UGUUAGGGGAUACACUGUGACAAACGUGCGCCCUGAGAUUGUUAAUAACGACAAUAAGGCAGAAACAGGAAUCCGGUGGACUGACCAUUCAGCGAGGGUCGGGUCUGAGGGAAAUGGCUGACAUGAGAAAAGCAAGCUUGGUAUAAACACGCCCUGUUUUUUCCAUCUCGCACCACAGUCAACGCUCACUAUCAGCAGCAAACUGGAUGCCUGAGGCAGACCCAGGAGAGGACACAAUAUCCUUCUGUGCACUACAAAGAAAUCUGCAGGGAGCUUCAAGUAUCUAUUUUUCUACAAUAUGAUUCAUAGCCAGUUUUUGUUAAACUUGAUAUCUGGUGCCAGUCCACUGCCAUGCCAUCUUGGCCACGCUCUUCUAAUUCGAGGUGCUGAGCUUCUGUGUCUUUCCUUGAUGUGCUGUCCGUAACUCAGUGGUUCUUCUUCAUGGUCUAAUUGCCAGCAGAUAGUCUGCUUCUUCCUAAAUUAGUUGUUAUUUUUCAGUUUGGAAGAUCUCAAAAAUUUCAGACACAGCCCUGGAGGACAUCAGUCUUUAGACAAGUAUAUUAUGUCUUUGCCAAACUUAUUUUCUGUUGUCAGCAAAGUUUGUACAAAGAUUCAUCUUCUUAGUGCAGAUAAAGAUACAGGGGGGCAUUUCGCUUCACGUUCAAUAAUCAAAGUUACAACUAUGGUAAUUAAACAUUCUGUAAUGCAAUUUCAGCACCUGCUUAAUCUUGUGGAAUGUGUUUUAAAUAACCUGCAGAAGUUUUUAUUUUGUUAUAAUUUUAAAAAUUUAAUGUCUUCUUGACAAAAAACCUUAUUAGUAGAACAAACACUUAUGAGAAAAACAGAUUAGUGAAGAGAUAAAAAUUGUUUAUGUCUGCUGUGGAGCAAGAACAAAAAUCAAAAGGUUGUAUAAUUGAUGUUAUUCUGUGUUUUUUCUGUCAUCUUUACUCAAGCAUAUAGGAGGUUUUGUUUAAUUACCGUAUCCUCUUAAAACACCUAAGUCAUUACAAAGCAGAUCAGUCAUUACAUUAGCUAGUUUUGUAGAAGAGCUUCUGACUCUUAGCAAAUUGAAUUAGUACUAAUAUAACUGAAAUUAAACUGUAUGGAGCUUUUUAUUGAUAGUGUUAAAAUAAUUUAUCAGUUACAUUCUCAGGUCUGAUUGUUAAUUUUCCUCAUCAUCAUGAAGAGCACUCAUAAAACAUGUCCAAAAUUUAUGGUGGAUUCACAUUUUAUUUUUCUUUUAUUUGGAUUGAUUAAUCUAUUAUUAUUAUUUUUUCAGAUGUUGACAUGGUUUUGAACUUUGGGUUUUUUAAAAGUCAUCCUCCCCAGGGAACUGGUUUCAGAUGGUGUGUUAGAGUAUAAAAUCCCAUCUAGCACCAUUUGAAAUCGGUGUUCUUGAGCAGGAACAGACUUCUGGUGUGCCUCCAUUUUUGGAUUUUAGUUUGGUGCCAUUGUUUAGAUUCAUAUUUCUACCUACUACUAUAGACUCAUGAUAAAUUUAGUCAAACUAAUUUGGAAGUUUCAAAGAUGUGAUGAUGUUUAUGGAGGUUCUCAAACCAUCAGAAAGAAGACAACGUUGGAUUCAGUCUCCUGACCCCUUGAUCCCCCUCCCACCAGGGCUGACCGUUUUCCUCUGGUGUUUAGAGUUUCCAUCAUGUCUAGCACCAUUUGAAAUCGGUUACAAUGUGGAGGGACAGUCGACAAGCAUUUUGCUUCAGCUUCAUGAUGGAAUACCUAAUAGUACCAGAAGAUGGCAGCCUUGUACUAUUGUCCCUGUGGUUAAUUCAGUCACUGGAUGAAGUUUGCUGAAAGACCCUCUUCAAGUGCAAGCCCAGGAAAGGUUUAGGAAAAAAAAGUCAAGAACUGACUUUGUUAAGGGUGACAGUUUCCUCUCUUUUCCAUGCAGCGAUCAGUCAUCCAUGCCGUCUGUAAUUUAUAGCAACAGUUGUGAUUUGUUUCCAGGAACAGUGAACUAAAGGAAUUAUCUGCUUAAACACUUCAGUAAUCCAGAAGUUGGCUAUCUGGUCUGUGCAGCAUUUUAAAAUGUAUGUCCAAAAGAGUAUUUUUCACAGUCUGGACUUUGAGUUACCAUCAGGUCUAAGAAGACAACACACAAAAUAAAAUGCAUUUAACUUUAAGAACUGCGAACAGUUCUUUGAGUUUAUGAGUAGUCAGUUAAUUUAAAGCAUGUAAUAUCUUAAAACAUGCAUGCCUGCCAUGCUAAUGCU